AUGCAGCAUAGUUUGAGAUCCAUAGGUGAUCUAAGCGAGGAGUUUGUUUCUUCAGACCCUUGAUGCCAUAGAAGGUUGCAUAGUGCAGAGACAGGAUAUCAGGAAUGAUGCAAACGGCGCAGUAGAUGAUUGCGAGAUGGCUCAGGGGAAGUACUGACCUGGGGAGGUAGUAACUGGAAUGAUAGAGACCAGUAUAAGAGGCCAAAAUGCACAUCACUGGAUGAGGCAAAUGCUGGGCACUGUAUGUUUCUGCGUCCUGCAACUUUCACGCAAUGCCAGAUGAUAAAAUUGGGACUUGACCUUGGAAAAUUAUAAAAUUAGAGAAAACAGGAGACCAAUUGGGUCAGUGGAUCUACACCUUGCCAACUGUAUGUUCAGUGUCGUAUAUACCUAUUGUAGGCAGGCAUGGUUCCACAAUGUUCAGCUCUAUGUAUAAUCAUUUAAAAAAUUUAGAUUGUAAAUGCAAUUAAUUCGAACAUAUACUCUAAUGUUGUAUCAUAGUAUAGUUUUAUCUUUGCGUACUUCACUUCUUUCGAAUAUUUAGAUAUAGAAAGGGCUCAGUUAGAAAUAAACAUCCUUUAUUCCCUGAUUUUCCCAAAAACAAACCAACUCCUAAAAAUUGGAACUUGCAAGGCAUAACUGAUCACAUGAAAGGAGUUCAGUGAGAACUCUUAAAAAUAUUGAGGCUAUGUAUUUUGCUAUUUCAAGUUUUUCCUAAGCCACAGCUAGUAUUGCCUAAAGAUAUGGAAUAGAAUUUUAUGAGAAAAUUUAUGGGUUCAAGUUGUGUAUAUAUGCAGAGGGGUAGAGAUGCUCACUUCAAAUUUUCAGAAGGAAACAUAUCAGUGAAUAUCAGUGAAUAAUUGUGAUGCCAUGUGAAUAUUCAGCAGUUAUUGCAUAAAGGAUUUUGAGAAAGAAAUGAUGGGUUUCUGAAGUGAUAGUUUUUUUUCUAACUUUUAAAGCAUAGCAAACUUACUAAAAUUAUUGAUGUCAAUGAUUCUCAAGAAUUAUUUUUGUCAAGCAAUGUGCCGAGACACAUCCGAAAACCACUUAAGCUUUCACCAUUCUUAGGACCAGUCUGAAGUUGCAGAAUGGAGAUCUCUUCUCAGAGAUGGACAGCAGUCAUCUUUUUGGGACAAAUAUUAACUUGAGUUUGCAUCAUUGCAUUUUUGAUAAAAGCAAAGGAAGAAAUGACUUCAUAUAUCACUAACCUGGGGAAGAGUCCGAACAUCUGGACCAUCAAAAUUUUGGGACUUGGGACCCAAUGGGAACACACAUGCAACCUGGAUGGACAACAAAACAAAAUUUCAAUAGCCGAGAGUAUCUUUAUAAGGUCUAAAGGGCUUUCUAUAAAGGAACACAUCUCAACUUAGCACCAUAGCAUAAAUUGAGAUAAGUGAAAAGUACAAGUUAGAUAAAGUGCAAGAAUGGAGAAAAAUCUGCAUCAAACUCUGAACAUGUAUAUAUAUCAGGCUUCUAUUGGAGAUCUCCGGUGCAUGUAUACAGCUUUGCAAAUAUUGCCACAUAUGAGUUACUAUAAUCUUCAAUAUACUAGAACAGGGAAGGAUGUUCAAGUAUUUCAAUAGCUGAAAUUCAAAACCAUGUUGACUGGUGUUCAUAAAAAUCAACAGGCCCACAUGAUUCAUUGAUAGCAAAUCACAGUUACAUGUAACUAUGUGGUGAUCUUUGCACCUCCAUGUCAAGGCUAGGAUUGUUUCAGAGAAGACAGAGCAAGUGGCGAAUCUGAAUGUAAAUAAAAAAAAACAGCCAGACAGCUUCAGCAUUUACAAAACAAAAGUAGAGUACAAAUUACCAGGGGAAACAUAAAAUCAAAGUUGUGCAAAUUGUUGUGGCUAGCAUCCCAUUUCCAUUUGACUAAAACUUAACGCUGUGCUGUCCACACUGCAUGGUUUGUUCAGGUUGCCUCAGCAGGUUAUAUCUGCAUUCUCUUGGAAAUAUAAGAAAGUUUUUUGCCCUUGCCAGACAGCUUCAUUAGCAACAUGUGUGAGCAGGAUGUGCUUUAAAGUUUUGGAGUCAGAUAGUGACCACAGCAAUUUUUGACAGUAAAUGGUAUCGGGAAUAAUAAAAAUUUUCUUACUCUCAUGAUCUCAUCUGAGGUAAGCUAACCUAAUCUUCUGACAUCUAAUCUCAGCUCUAAGAUGCAUGGCUGUUGUGUGCUAAUCAACUUCUCUUCAAAGAUGUCCAUCAGGAAACCUGUAUAUGGCCUUCCUGAGGCAAUUCCAGUUGAAAUCAAUUUUUAACAUACCAAAGAAAGCAAAUGGAGAAAUACCGCACAGACAAGGGAAGAAUUGUAAUAGAUUAUGUUAAUAGAACUUUGUUCAUAUUAUUUUAACUAUUCAGUGAAUGACUGAUACUCGAUGAUAUAGAUUAUAUGUCAAUUACAUGGAGUGUAGUGCCAUCAUAUCCGUGCAUGUGCAACAAACAAAGUAUAAACCUCUUGAAGUUUUGUAUUUCCUCAAAUGUUUUGAACAAAAUUGAGCGAGUGCAGUCCAUUUAAUAUCAAAUUCCAAUACCUUUAACAAGAGAGAAAAAAGACCUCAAGAACUUAGUUUAAAUCAUGAAAAAUUAGCC